rnacentral:rRNA from 1 species
UACAGAGGAUGCAAGUGUUAUCCGGAAUCACUGGGCGUAAAGCGUCUGUAGGUGGUCAAAUAAGUCAACUGUUAAAUCUUGAGGCUCAACCUCAAAAUCGCAGUCGAAACUAUUAGACUAGAGUAUAGUAGGGGUAAAGGGAAUUUCCAGUGGAGCGGUGAAAUGCGUAGAGAUUGGAAAGAACACCGAUGGCGAAGGCACUUUACUGGGCUAUUACUAACACUCAGAGACGAAAGCUAGGGUAGCAAAUGGG